CUACCCCCUUUAAGGUUGCUGCCGGUGGGUCUUUAAGAGGCUAACAGAGCAGGGUAAAGGCUCUGUACGACCCAGAGAGGACACUAUAUACCUCCUUUUUUGGUCCUAUCUGAUAGAU